UUACGGCCAUAUCACAUUGAAAUACACGUUCUCGUAAGAUCACUGAAGUUAAACAACAUCGAACCUGGUCAAUACCCAGAUGGGUGACCGCUUGGAAAUACCAGGUGCUGUAA